AUACGGAGGGUGCAAGCGUUAUCCGGAUUUAUUGGGUUUAAAGGGUUCGUAGGCGGACAAGUCAGUCAGUGGUGAAAGCCUGUGGCUCAACCAUAGAACUGCCAUUGAUACUGCUUGUCUUGAGUACAGUUGAAGUGGGCGGAAUGAGUUAUGUAGCGGUGAAAUGCAUAGAUAUAACUUAGAACACCGAUUGCGAAGGCAGCUCACUAAAUUGUAACUGACGCUGAGGAACGAAAGCGUGGGGAGCGAACAGGAUUAGAUACCCUAGUAGUCC
rnacentral:rRNA from 1 species